CAGCUUGGGAAACACUCCUAAGCAAAUGAGAUCUUGUGAAGUAUUGUGGUGUCAACAGAAUCAUUAUUGCAUCAAAAUCUGAGAACACUCAGAUAAAAGUUGCCCUACCUAUGGGCUCCUGGGGACAUUUUCAUGCCUUCAUGGCAGCAAGUAGACUUCAGAAUCUACCUCUGGCCCUGUCCCUUCGUGGCCACAAAGGAGGAAGCCAUUGUCCUUGGCCUGACCGAGUCCCCGCUGAAGAAGCUGGAGGAAGGAGACAAGACUGCCUUGCUGCUGGUCACACAACCAGUGAAGGAUCAGAUUCUCUGGGUACAGCUAGGCCAACUGCAGUUUGGGCCUGGACUCCAGAAGGGUCUGGAACGAGCAGAAGUUGAUACUGAUUCACCCUCAGCAGCAUCGUAGCACUUUGCUUCCAUGCUCCACCCAGCUGCCUGGCCAAGCUCUCCUCUUUGUCAGUUUCUGUGGCUCUUGGUCAUUCCAUCAUCUCAGUGGGAUCAUUAUUUCUAUCACCCACAUUGUUGUCUUUGGUGUUACGGAGCCUUUAGAAAGCCUUUUGGCUAGCAUAUUUUGGAAUCUGACAUCUCUGCUUUGGACCCAUCAGUUGACUGGUAUUUAAUUACACACUGUUUGGUAAUCUGCUUUUUCCCCUGGACAAUUAUGGUGGACAUUUCCCUUCUGUUAUUUAGUAGACUUCUAAAUAUUAUUUCGACAGUUGUGUUGUAAUCCAUCACGAGAUAUCCCACGAUGUAUUCCUUCCUGUUGGACAUUUAGGUUAUUUCCAAAUUUUCAGGACUCCAAAUAAUGCCUUGAUAAGUAUCAGUGUAGCAAAAUCUUUGCAAUCAUUCUUUUAAAUAUUUUAAAAAUACACAUGUACUGAAUGAACACAUGCUCUUGGUAAUAAAGCAUUACAGAUGUGAGUAAAGUCCCUAUUAAUAACCAGCUUUAAUCUGGUCACAGUCAUUGUUAUAGAGAUAACUACUGUUAUUGGUUAAUGCAUGUCCUCCUCUUUUUUAAGGUGUUUGCAUGUAUUUUCAUGGAUCUAAGUAAAAUAUAUAGUGCUGGAUAGUUUUUAUUUGUGAGGCUGGAAGUGGUGCACAGAUGCUAACACGCUGUAUACAUAUUCACUCAGCAGCGUAUCUUAGAGGUGUUUCUAUGUCAGCAGAGGAAGCUCUGCACCCCUCUCUGUAAGUGCUGCGUAGGAUUCCACAACGAGGACAAACCCCUGCUUAUUGAGCUAUUUCCCCCUUGCCAGGUAUUUGGGCUCUUUUUAGUUAUUGGUAAGACAAGAAAGGCUGCAUUAGAUCUUUUCCUCCUGCACAUGUGCAAAUGUUUCUCUGGGAAGAUUCAGAGAAGCAGAAUGGUUGGAUCAUAGAGAAGUCACAGUGGUCUAAUGGUUAAGGUCUGGUGUACCCACCGCCCCAGAAGCAGCCCAGGUUCAGUUCCCCAGUAAGGGAACCACACUGCCCAUCUGUCUGUUGUCAUACUGUGGUGGCUGUGUGUUGCUGGGAUGCUGAAAGCUAUGCCACUGGUAUUUCACACACAAGCAGGGUCACCCGUGGUGGACAGGCUUCAGCAGAGCUUCUCGAUUAGACAGACUAGGAAAAAGGAGCUGGCUGCCCACUCCCAAAAUACUUGACCAUGAAAACCUAUGAAUAGCAGCAGAGUGUUGUCUGAUACAGUGCCAGAAAGUGAGAGGAUGGCGCAAAAAGAUUGGUCAGGGUUCCACUGUGCUGUACACAGGGGCGCUAGGAGUCGGAAUCAACUCCAUGCAUUAACAACAACAAAGCGAAG
rnacentral:lncRNA from 1 species